rfam:Zootermopsis nevadensis contig3463, whole genome shotgun sequence.
GCCACGGUGGUCUAGCGGUGAGAACGCUGGCCUUGUAAUCCUGGGGUCUCGGGUUCGAUUCCCCGCGGUGCCC